CGUCGCCCGGCCACCCCGCGCCCGCCGCCGCCCGGCCACCCCGCGCCUCGCUGCCGCCCGGCCACUGCGCGCCUCCCCUCCGACGGGCUCGCCGGCCCCUCCCCGCGCGCCUCCCCUCCGACGAGCACCGGCCCCUCUUCGUCGACGGGCCCUGGCCCCUCCCUGUUCGCCUCCUCGCUGGCGUUUGCCGUCCCCUCCCCACGCUUCUUCCCGCGGGCGUUCGCCGGCCCCUACCCGCGAGUCUCCUAGCCAUCGGGCCCUCCCCGCUGCCAUCGAUGCCAACUGCUGCCCGCGAACGGGAUGGGUUCAAUGCCCGCUGCCGGGAUCCAGCGCCCCCCCAUCUCCCGAUUCACUGUCUGCCGCGCAUGGCGUCGCCCUUCCUUCCUUCCUCUUAAUCUUCUAUGCCAGCCGGCUGUGGCAUCCCAUGUGCUGCAGCUUCCAGCGUCGUCCUCUGCCUUGUCGGCGCACAAGCCGUUCGCCUCAGCCACCCCAGUCCGUUCACCAUUUCCAGCAGAGUCCGUUCAACACUAGCGUGCAGCUACCCGCCUCCUGGAUUCAGGGACGCAUUCAUGGCUUCAUUCAACAAGUGGACUGUGGGAAGAUGUUCAUCAACAAGUCUGCGGUAUUAAGUUUAGCUGCUAGUACAUAUUAUGGAUUUGGGGACAUGAGGGAGCGAGUGGUACAUGGAUCGAUUGGUGUAGUCUUUGUAGGUUGAGUAGAUUCUUCAAGAGUACUGAGGUUUCUUCAGGAGUACUGAAGAGCUUUAUUGUUCUUGGAAAAAUGAUAAUUAGCUAAAAAUGUUAGCUCUGUCAUUCCAUAAUUAUUGAUUAAUUGUUUGGUCUGAUUUCAAGGUACGGACAACAGGAAAGAAAUCUUGCAUCGUUUGCAUAUGGUACAUAGACAUGUUUCCCAUUCAGCCGCCAACUCCACGCUUAGUUCGUUAGCUGAUUAUAGGGAAAACAAAAGUUGGUAAGUUCAAAAUGUCCAGUCCUAUAAGUUCAUCUAAUCUAUGUAGGAUUUUGUACUAUGAGUUCAUCUACUCUAUGUGUUUGGGCAGUACAAAUAUGGCUACAGUAUAUUACUGCUAUGUAGAAUUUUGUCCUGUGAGUUCAUCUACUCUACUGUAUGAGUUCAUCUACUCUACAGUACAAGUUCAGCUAUGAGAAAGAAUUAGCAAAACUGAAAGAAAAAAUGAAUGUUACCAGAAUUGAAAGCAAAUGAUUUUUCAAACUUUUGGAUGAGAUCUUGCUCAGUUUUCUGGUUAAAAAAAAAGACAACAUGGAUUUACCAUGUUCUACCGGUGUUACUACUUUGUACUGAUCCUGGAAGCCUAUGAGCGGUACAUUUUCCUAAGCGGGUAAUGAUCGCAAACUCUUGGUUAUGAUGGAUUUUAAUAUAGAGCUAGGCCUUGUCACUGUGAAUUUAUUAUGCACCUGAUCCAAAUUCUUCUGAUGUUCUGGGCCUCUGGGGCAUGGGUCCAAUAUAUUAGUUUCUAUGCUCCACUGGUCCUCUCCACCACGAGCCCUAGUGUGGAUCACCUGCGGCGGCCAAAUCCCGGCGGGCCCAGCCACUGCUCGUGAACCCCGCCUCCAUCAGCUCCACUUCACCGGAGCCGUCAGUCCGCAGGAGUAGGGGUAGCAGGUUCACCCGACGUGCGACGCCUUCUUUCAUCUCCAAAAAUCUUGUUUAUUGAGUUCAGUUCUUCGUCGCAUGUUUCACUAGCUAAAAAAUGUAUGGUGUUCUGAAAUUGCUUGCGAACCACUAGCUGAAAAAAAUAAUCCCUCUUCUUGUAAGUUCUGGUCAGAGUUUAGACUAUACCAAAUGUCCAAAUUACAUGGUGUGGUCUUCUGUUCUUUCCGUUCAUUUCAAGUUAACUGUAGCUGAACAUGUGUUGUGUUGAUACUGAACUUGUGAUUUGUCUGAUUCUAAACUGAUGCGUAUCCAACAUUGGUGUUUAAACAAUUUUUGGUCCAUUGACUGUUUGAACUUGCAACCUUACUGCCUUGAACUAUGGUAUAAAAAAACUGAACUCAUGCAGGUACUUGGUGGUGCAGACUUGGUAGCGGUGAUAUUUUGGUUCGAUUACAUAUCAACAACAGUGCAAUGACUGAAAGAUCAUCAGUUCAAAAUAUAUAUGCAGGAGGAGGUUCAAAGAUUGUCGUGGAGCAAGUUAAAGAGUUUAGUACACCUGCGUCAGUCGGCCACCGUAGGAUGUAGCUACUACUCUCUCAAGUCAUAGGCUGCGGUUGCUACUUCUUUGUACUCGUAAUUUGUUAUUUCUUUGCAACCAGAUGUGACAGACGGAUGCAAGAGGCAAAGUGUCCUAUUUGUUAGAUGUUCAGUACAGAUUUUUCUCUAAGAAAAAACAACAUGAGGCAACAGUUUUGAAUGUGCUAGUUGUAAGUAACUUAGUUGUUAGAUGGUCAUUUCAGAUUUUUGUAGAUGCAACAACUAGUUUGUUUUCUUGUGCUAGUUGAACUGGUUUUCUUGUGCUAGUUGAACUGGUCUUGGUUCAGAUAUUUCUCUGAGAAAAAAGUAGCAAGAGGCGGCAGUAUUGAAUGAUCUUUGUUAGAUGUUCUGUAAAUAUUAUGGAAUUUUCUAUGGGACACACCUGAACUGAAGUUGUUACCUGAAAUGAAUGGUUCUACUUCUCCCACGGAAAAUGCCACCUUUGGUUUCAGGUUUCUUCAUUGUUGUAAGGCUUGUGAAAUUUAGAUAAUCUUACCACUGAGGUUGUGGUGCCUUUUUCUUUCAGCAAAAAUUCAGGUUGGGAAGCUUAUUUCUUCCAAAGUGAUUGUUUGGGUACUACAAGCUCCCACAGAGUGGAAGCGGUUGUUACAACAGGUUUGAAGUAGAUAUUACACAAGGUUUGAUUUUUCUAGACCAUGUACAAAAACAGUAGCAGUUCUAGUACUUAUGCAGUCGUCUGCCUUUUCUUAACUUUGUUUGAUUUUUCGUGAAAUAUAUAAAACCCAGUAGCAGUACUAUUACUUAUUGUACAACAGGUCAUUGACUAAAACUAUAUCAGUUUAGCACAUGUACUUACAAAAACAAAUCAACAGGUUUGUAGGUUUUUUUCAGCUCAUCUUGUUGGCUUUUUUGGUUCAUACUGCAGGCUUGUAGGAUUAGAUUCUCAUGUUUGUUUCAAUAUUAGGGAGAAGUAGAACCAUUCAUUUCUUGUAUAUUUAUUGUUAUUGUAGUAUUAUGGAGUAUGUGAUCAGCUCAUGCAGUAUAUACUAAGUAUGCACAAAAUGUCUGUACGGUACUUUACAUACAAAAAACUUGCUUUCUCUAGACCAUGCAAGAUUCCUCAAAGGAGCUCAUGUCGAACGAGUGCUUUACAUACAAAUGAGCGCAAUGAUGGGCCAUUAGCUUAAUUUCGCGCACACGACAUCUUUGGUCGCGUGGCCGGCACCAUUAUCUUAAAUAUUUGUUUCUG
rnacentral:rRNA from 1 species